UUACUGUAGAUGUGAGCGAGGUCCCUCCCGUCACUAGAUGCCAGCUAGGUCCCUCCCUUUACUGUAGAUGCCAGCGUGACCCUUCCCUUCACUAUAGAUGCCAGCGAGGUCCCUCCCUUCACUGUAGAUGCCAGCGAGGUCCUUCUCUCUGCUCAGACAUCUUUGACUCCCUCUUAUGCACAUCCCACUGAUGACUCUCAGCACAUCCCAUCACCUUCACCUUUGAGGUUUAUCCAGGAUCUGACAAGUCCCAGCAUCCCAGCUGCUGCCCCCUGGCCUGGCCUCCUGCUCCCCAACCCCAGGCAUCUUCCCCUUCUCCACAUGCGGUUGGCGCAAGCCAGGGGGGAAUCAGAGCCCCCCUACAGACUCGAAGGUGGGCUUGUUUCUGUGACCUGCAAGCCCCCUUCCCACCUGACUUCCAUCCUCUCUCUUCCCCUCGCUUGCUGUGCUGUGGCCAUGCUGGGGUCCUGCUUGCACUUCCCACGGAUGAUUCUCAGCACAUCCCAUCAGUUUCACUUUUGAAGCUGCCCUCCUGGGCUGCUCCCACCAUAGGCUGCGUCAUGCAUUCCCUCUUCUCAGAUGGCCAUGCCUUGCGCCUCACUCCUGCGUCUCCUCCAGGGCUCAUCUCAGAUGUCCCCUCCUUGCCAGGGCUCUCCCUGGCCACCUGGCCACACGCUCACUCGCACUGCUGUUUCUUAGUGUUUCUCAGUGUGUGUAGCUUAUUUCUUGUUGUCUGUGGUCCCCACCAUAGACUGUGUGGUCAUGUUUGUCUUCAUUCAGAGCACCAUGCCCAGAGUCCACGAGGCCCUGGCACAGAGGCAGCCACCAGGAUGUGGUUGUUUAACAAAUAGAUGGGAGUGUGUUUCUUCGAUGGCUUCUUGUCCGUGGCAGUUCUGGGGUCCCCCCCACCGCCAUUUUUUUGCUCCCUUGUCUGCUUCCAUAAGACUAAUCAGUCUGCAGGAAACAGAAAGCAGGCUGUAGUGCCUCGUCCCCCAGGAGUCCUCACCCCAUGGGCAGAUUAGAGGGAAGCAGCAGACAGAGCCCCGCCCCGGGCUCCCGUCGGCUCCUGGCCAUCCUGGGCUUAUGUGGCCUUUGUCUCCACCCUCACAGCCUCCAGAUGGCUUCUGUGCCUCCCAGCAGGAAGGAAGACAAGGACAGAGUGCAAAGGGCAGAGGCCAGCUGCCUUGACCUUAUGAAGCUCACCCUGGCAUGUGUUCCCAGGGCCUUGCCCAGUUCACUCUCCCUGGCUCAUUAGAGUGGCCGGGGAGAACAGUGGCUGCCUCAGCCAGCAGGGACCCUGGCUGAGAGCCCUGUGACUGGCCACGUGGCCACCCUGAUCCACCUCAUGAGGAAGAAGGGAGGGGAUGGUACUGGGGAGGGAGCCGCGGUGUGUGUUCUACUCAUUAGGCCUCGUUGCCACCUCUGCACAGGCGCUUGGAGCCCUUGUAGAAGCUGGUGCUGCUGGGACAACAGAGGGAUAGAAUCCUCUUUGGCCAGAUGCCAAAUGCUGUUUGUUGGUCUCCUUGUAAAAACACCCAGAAAUCAUGGGGGCUUUCCAUGUGUGAGCUGCACCUCUUACUCUCUGCAGCACCCAGGUGUCUCCCGGGCACCAUGCUGCUCCCUCUGGGCACCCCUCAUGCCCCCCCACGGAAUGGGGACCUGGCUGAGCAUGACUGGGCCAUGGGAGCAGCCUGACCCUGGGCUCCCAGGCCUGGCCAUGGUGGCUGCAGGCUCGCCUCGGCUCCAUGGGCCUUCCUAAUCUGGUUAGCGGGAUGAAGGUAUCGGGUAGGGUCUGUGUGGGGUGGAGAGGAGGAGCCAGGCCCUGGAUCCAGAACCCUCUUCUGCCCUUGCCAGCUCAGCAGCCCACAGAGGGGUCUUCCCGCUCACAGCCACAGAGGGUUAUCAGGGUUAUAGAGAAGAGUCACCUACCCAGUGCCUGUCAGGGCAUCAGGUACAUCCCGGGUGCUGCCACCUCACACCUGCAAUGUCCACACGGUGAACCGGGUUGAACAGAAUGCAGCCUCGAGAGGCUGGAGAAAAUACACCAAGCACUGACACAGAUGACCCUGGGAUGUGGGACUAUAGGCGAUCUUCAAUUUUUUCUUCAUACUUUUCUUGGUUUCUAAAUCUUAUUCAGUGAGCACGUGUUCCUUUUUUUAAUUAGAGAAAACUUGACAGUAGCCCCUUUUUGUGUUUCACAGAGGAGCUAACAUUCCUUCUGUACCUGUAGUUCAUGCGGGAGAUGGCAGGGGCUGGCACAUGACAGUGGAGCAGAAAUUUGGCCUGUUUUCUGCUGAGAUAAAGGAAGCAGACCCCCUGGCUGCCUCGGAAGCAAGUCAACCCAAACCCUGUCCCCCCGAAGUGACCCCCCACUACAUCUGGAUCGACUUCCUGGUGCAGCGGUUUGAGAUCGCCAAGUACUGCAGCUCUGACCAAGUGGAGAUCUUCUCCAGCCUGCUGCAGCGCUCCAUGUCCCUGAACAUCGGCAGGGCCAAGGGGAGCAUGAACCGGCACGUGGCGGCCAUCGGGCCCCGCUUCAAGCUGCUGACCCUGGGGCUGUCCCUCCUGCAUGCCGAUGUGGUUCCAAAUGCAACCAUCCGCAAUGUGCUUCGCGAGAAGAUCUACUCCACUGCCUUUGACUACUUCAGCUGUCCCCCAAAGUUUCCUACUCAAGGAGAGAAGCGGCUGCGUGAAGACAUAAGCAUCAUGAUUAAAUUUUGGACCGCCAUGUUCUCAGAUAAGAAGUACCUGACCGCCAGCCAGCUUGUUCCCCCAGCUGACAUCGGCGACCUCCUGGAGCAGUUAGUAGAGGAGAACACAGGCUCCUUGUCGGGCCCAGCGAAGGACUUUUACCAGCGGGGGUUUGAUUUCUUUAACAAGAUCACCAACGUGUCGGCUGUCAUCAAGCCCUACCCUAAAGGCGACGAGAGAAAGAAGGCUUGUCUGUCGGCCCUGUCUGAAGUGACGGUGCAGCCAGGCUGCUCCCUGCCCAGCAACCCCGAAGCCAUUGUGCUGGACGUCGACUACAAGUCUGGGACCCCGAUGCAGAGUGCUGCAAAAGCCCCAUAUCUGGCCAAGUUCAAGGUGAAGCGAUGUGGAGUUAGUGAACUUGAAAAAGAAGGUCUGCGGUGCCGCUCAGACUCUGAGGAUGAGUGCAGCACGCAGGAGGCCGACGGCCAGAAGAUCUCCUGGCAGGCAGCCAUCUUCAAACUGGGAGACGACUGCCGGCAGGACAUGCUGGCCCUGCAGAUCAUCGACCUCUUCAAGAACAUCUUCCAGCUGGUCGGCCUGGACCUCUUUGUUUUUCCCUACCGCGUGGUGGCCACUGCCCCUGGGUGCGGGGUGAUCGAGUGCAUCCCCGACUGCACCUCCCGGGACCAGCUGGGCCGCCAGACAGACUUCGGCAUGUACGACUACUUCACACGCCAGUACGGGGAUGAGUCCACUCUGGCCUUCCAGCAGGUAGCCAGGGUGGCCACAGGCCGGGGAAAGUCGUGUGCGCUCCACCCUACCCCAGCCACCCAUACCCAGCCUCUACCCACACCCUGCUCUCCUCAGUCAUCCUUUGUUAAGGGUUAAAACCAGGGCACCUGGGCUGGGCACGGUGGCUCACGCCUGUAAUCCUAGCACUUUGGGAGGCCGAGGCGGGCAGAUCACGAGGUCAAGAGAUCAAAACCAUCCUGGCCAAAAUGGUGAACCCUGUCUCUACUAAAAAUACAAAAAUUAGCUGGGCAUAGUGGCACGCGCCUGCAGUCCCAGCUACUCAGGAAGCUGAGGCAGGAGAAUCGCUUGAACCCAGGAGGCAGAGGUUGCUGUGAGCCGAGAUUGCACCACUGCACUCCAGCCUGGGCAACAGAGUGAGACUCCAUCUG
ensembl:lncRNA novel transcript